rnacentral:rRNA from 1 species
UGAACGCUGGCGGCGUGCCUAAUACAUGCAAGUCGAGCGAACAGAUGAGGAGCUUGCUCCUCUGACGUUAGCGGCGGACGGGUGAGUAACACGUGGAUAACCUACCUAUAAGACUGGGAUAACUUCGGGAAACCGGAGCUAAUACCGGAUAAUAUAUUGAACCGCAUGGUUCAAUAGUGAAAGACGGUUUUGCUGUCACUUAUAGAUGGAUCCGCGCCGCAUUAGCUAGUUGGUAAGGUAACGGCUUACCAAGGCAACGAUGCGUAGCCGACCUGAGAGGGUGAUCGGCCACACUGGAACUGAGACACGGUCCAGACUCCUACGGGAGGCAGCAGUAGGGAAUCUUCCGCAAUGGGCGAAAGCCUGACGGAGCAACGCCGCGUGAGUGAUGAAGGUCUUCGGAUCGUAAAACUCUGUUAUUAGGGAAGAACAAAUGUGUAAGUAACUAUGCACGUCCUGACGGUACCUAAUCAGAAAGCCACGGCUAACUACGUG